CUCAUACAGGGGAGUAACAGUUAGAAAUGACUGCUAAUACCGCAUAAGCGCACAGUGCUGCAUGGCACAGUGUGAAAAACUACCGGUGGUAUGAGAUGGACCCGCGUCUGAUUAGCUAGUUGGUGGGGUAACGGGCCUACCAAGGCGACGAUCAGUAGCCGGCCUGAGAGGGUGAACGGCCACAUUGGGACUGAGACACGGCCCAGACUCCUACGGGAGGCAGCAUG
rnacentral:rRNA from 1 species